CCCACACAAUAAGAAACACAAAUACGUUGAUCUCUUCUGAAGCUGUCUUUCUCCCGUCCUCUUUGUCUCUGUUUCUGUUCUUAUUUAUUUUGAAGAUCUCACCUCUUAGUCUCUCAUACAAGUAGAUUAGAGCACACAUCUCUUCCUCUAUAACCUUUCUUCCUAAGCAAACUGAUCUAUCAAUGGUAGAUCUAACAUCUAUCUAAGGUUUGAGCUUUUGGUGAAGAUGAACUAGCCCAGCCACCUUUUUAGUGAUGAUUUGUGUGUGAGGAACCAUGAGAACCGUGAGGUCAGGGUGUUCCUGAGAACACCCUCACCUGAACGUGGCGUCGCCACUGGUUUUGGGUGGCUUGCUUUGUAUCUGAGAAGAGAGACAGACGAAGAGGAAGAGAGAGAAAGAGUCGAGGAAUUCAUGAGGAGACGUAGAAAACGACAUUGGUUGUGGCUUUGCUUGCAACAGUCAAGCACUUCUGCCACGUGCUGUGGCUGGACUGCUGCAGGCAUUGGGAACAGAAGGAUUUCGAAAGAUUUACUAAAUAUCGGAGAGAAGCGAUUAGUGGUGAUUUCUAGAGACCCUUUCAUAAAAAAAAUCAGGGUGGAGGAAGAUAUCAUUCUACUUCAACCUCUCUUUUGAAAUCAGAGACAAGACUAUCGAACUUGAUGAAAAUCGAAAUGUUCAGCGUGCUGAAUUUGUGGUUCGGGCAUACAUGCAAGGUGGUAGGUUCUCAGAUGGGUGGGGCUCAUGUAAGCGGCAUGAGAAGAGAUUUUUAAAACCAAAUCAUGAUAUACCCAGUACAGCAGAGAUCAGAGCAAAAAAUAAAUCAUGCCAAGACUUGCUUGGAAUUGGAGAAUAUCGACCGGGUGCAAGCCAAGGCUAGAGAUGAGAAACAUCAAAUAAUCUGGUAAUCGUUAGGGUUUGAAAAGGAGAUGGAGGUGAUACCUAUUCACUAACUACAAUGUACAAGAUGCAUCUUUUGGAUGAUAUGAUGCAUUAUGUUGAUGUUAUUUAGGGGGUCAGUAUAUAUCUUCAUUGUCAAAGCCUUGUUGACAAUGUAUUUUGUAACUUAUACAUUAUUUUUAUAAUUUGACAAUGAAAUAUGUUAUAUCAUCUUUAUGUUAA